rnacentral:rRNA from 1 species
ACCCGCACAAGCGGUGGAUGAUGUGGAUUAAUUCGAUGCAACGCGAAGAACCUUACCUACCCUUGACAUGUCCGGAACUUGCCAGAGAUGGCUUGGUGCCCGAAAGGGAACCGGAACACAGGUGCUGCAUGGCUGUCGUCAGCUCGUGUCGUGAGAUGUUGGGUUAAGUCCCGCAACGAGCGCAACCCUUGUCCUUAGUUGCUACGCAAGAGCACUCUAAGGAGACUGCCGGUGACAAACCGGAGGAAGGUGGGGAUGACGUCAAGUCCUCAUGGCCCUUAUGGGUAGGGCUUCACACGUCAUACAAUGGUCGGUACAGAGGGUUGCCAAGCCGCGAGGUGGAGCCAAUCCCACAAAGCCGAUCGUAGUCCGGAUUGUUCUCUGCAACUCGAGAGCAUGAAGUCGGAAUCGCUAGUAAUCGUGGAUCAGCAUGUCACGGUGAAUACGUUCCCGGGUCUU